CCGCUUCCCGCCAAUCAUCAUUCACAGAAAGCACGAGGCAGGCCGAGAGAAGAAAACGAUGCAAACAAGGACAUUAGUGACUUUAGAGAGUUUGGACACGUUCACAACAGGUUUAAUUUGUUUUAAAUAAUAAAUACUACGGCGAAUGAGUUCGUGAAGAGUAGUGACUGAGUUUUGGUCAGGUUUUAUGGCAAGCCCAUCCAUUUUGAGAAGAAGAGUUAUUCAGUUCACGGAUGUUUUAUUGAUGUCGAGCCACCCAACUAAGCCUGAAGAUACUUCACAUAGGCAAAAGAAGAUUCAUCGCUCUGGAAUAACAGACCUGGAUCUCAGGACCUGUGGUGAGAGGCAACACAUUCUGGACCAAAACCCACAACCUGAUCACGUGAUUUAUUCUUCCCUGUGGCACACAUGACCCAGCAUCCAUAAUGGCAUGGUACAAGAACAAAAUUAAA